rnacentral:tRNA from 1 species
GUAGUCGUGGCCGGGUGGUUAUGGCGAUGGACUAAAAAUCCAUUGGCCUCUGCCAACGCAGGAUCGAAUCCUGCUGACUACG